CCUGCGCACGUCAAGUUAACGCCUACAGCUGCUAAAUAUACAUCCACACACGCUAAUUUAACGCGUUCUUUAAUAUGCAAUUUUACUAGCCAAUUUCCCUAGCUUCUCCUUUCAAACAGAUUUCACAAUUUGAAGGAACUUCUCUUUCCACUGCAAACAGAUUUUGAAACUUUACAAGAAGGGAACCAUGAAGAGGAGCUUGGAGUGGGCAAGGGGGAGGCUGAUAAAGCAGCAGAGAAGACCUGAUUCAUCAAGUAUCAAUUCAUUCAGGUGAUUCUCACCUGGUUGGCAUGCACAACACAAGACACUUCAAUCUGACACUCUUGUUAAUGUUUGACGUCAGGCAAAACGUCUUCAGCCAUCGUAGGACGGAGAGCCGCUGGUUGGCAUUUGACCGCAGUGUCUGUACCGGGAAAGGAAGUUAUAAGAAAGGGCCCCAUGAUAUCGAUGCUUCUUACCAUUUCCAUUGAUUUUAAAAUUUAAAAAACCUGGAACAAUAGAUUGUGUAGCACAAUGUACAACUCCAGUUUGCCUAUUGUCACAACAAAUGUCAAUUAUAAAUGUUUUGAUACGUCAGAGUGCAUUUUAUUUUAUAGCUCUGCUUUCAACACCAUCCUGACCCACAAACUGGUUAGCAGACUCAGGGUUCUGGGUGUAAAUCCUGUAAUAACAAAUUUAGAAUUUUUUACAUUAUCAUAAAAAUGUGUAUCUCCAGAAUGGAGCUGUGGGACCUGACAUAAUGGUGAUACGUCAGUCUCAGCGUAAACAAAACAAAGUAGAUGGUGAUACUUGACCAUUCUCCCAUCUACUGGAGAUGAUCAGCAGCUUCAAGUUCCUGGGCACCCUGAUAUCCUUUUCUGCCCUCAGUUACUUCACUCAAAGUCCCACUUGUGCUUCUCCACUAAACUUUCUGCACCACGACCUAUGUACCAACUACAGUGUCUUUUGCCAUUACACAUGUAAAUGAAAUGUCCAUAUUUACUGGAAGAUUUAUUUAUGGUAACAUAGUCCCUUGACAUACAUGACUUAACUACUUUGCACAAUGCUCAGUUUACCCACUAAGAAAUCAUACAUGUAUUAAAAUAUUAAAGCUGCAUUAUCUA